GUGUGAAUCUGGCUGUGCCACUUUGACGUUUGAUGUUUCAUCUUUCACUGGAAUUGACCCAGAGGCUUUUCUGGAUGUGCUGGAUGUCAGCGCCACUGUCAGAGACAAGUUUACAAGUAUCGCACACACAAAGUGGGAAAGAAUAAAUAUAACAUACUCCAUUGGACGACUGUCUUUUCUUGAAACUCCCCAAACCUACACCCAAGGACAACCUCUGAACGGGAAGGUUCAAGCUGUUAGUUACAGUGGCUCACCUGUUGCUCACCUUAAGCUGUACCUGUUCAAGGCUGAGAGUUUGUUUCCAGAAGAGGUGGACAUUCUGGAAACGGAUGAAAAUGGUGUCGCUCAUUUUUCUUUGGACACAAACAGAUUCAGUGGAAACAUCAUUCUAAAAGUCUGCGCCACCAAACCCGGAGAACAUGAAAAACAUAAGUCUCCUUUCUUUACAUCCGCAACCCUCACGGUGUCUGAGUCUGGUCCAGGUCCCACUACUGGCGGUUUCCUGAGAGUGCGGACGGUGGAGAAACCACUUCGUUGUGGGAAGACAGAGGAGAUCACCAUCCAGUACAGUUUGGAAAGUGAAUACAGUCCUAUCGUGGAAAUUAUUUU